GGGCUGGCUUUAGCCCAGUGGUUCCUUCGUGUCCUACUUCCCAACCGCCCGGGCCUAUUGGUCCGGUGGUUUGAGACUCGUGGGCAUUCUCCAGUCUUUUU
rnacentral:vault_RNA from 1 species